UAACGGCGAGUGAAGCGGCAACAGCUCAAAUUUGAAAUCGGCCCCCCGGCCGAGUUGUAAUUUGCAGAGGAUGCUUCUGGGCAGCGGCCGGUCUAAGUUCCUUGGAACAGGACGUCAUAGAGGGUGAGAAUCCCGUAUGCGACCGGCGCGCACCCUCCACGUAGCUCCUUCGACGAGUCGAGUUGUUUGGGAAUGCAGCUCUAAAUGGGAGGUAAAUUUCUUCUAAAGCUAAAUACCGGCCAGAGACCGAUAGCGCACAAGUAGAGUGAUCGAAAGAUGAAAAGCACUUUGGAAAGAGAGUUAAAAAGCACGUGAAAUUGUUGAAAGGGAAGCGCUUGCCACCAGACUUGGCGGCGGGGUUCCGCCGGUCUUCUGACCGGUCCACUCCCCGCCGGCAGGCCAACAUCGUCUGGGGCCGCCGGAUAAGACGUCGGGAAUGUAGCUCCUCGGAGUGUUAUAGCCCGUCGUGAUGCGGCGCGCCCCGGGCGAGGUCCGCGCUUCGGCAAGGAUGUUGGCGUAAUGGUUGUCAGCGGCCCGUCUUGAAACACGGACCAAGGAGUCUAACAUCUAUGCGAGUGUUCGGGUGUCAAACCCCUACGCGGAAUGAAAGUGAACGGAGGUGGGAGCUUCGGCGCACCAUCGACCGAUCCUGAUGUCCUCGGAUGGAUUUGAGUAAGAGCAUAGCUGUUGGGACCCGAAAGAUGGUGAACUAUGCCUGAAUAGGGUGAAGCCAGAGGAAACUCUGGUGGAGGCUCGCAGCGGUUCUGACGUGCAAAUCGAUCGUCAAAUUUGGGUAUAGGGGCGAAAGACUAAUCGAACCAU
rnacentral:rRNA from 1 species